GACGAACGCUGGCGGCGUGCUUAACACAUGCAAGUCGAGCGAUGAAGUUCCUUCGGGAACGGAUUAGGGCGGACGGGUGAGUAACACGUGGGUAACCUGCCUCAUAGAGGGGAAUAGCCUUUCGAAAGGAAGAUUAAUACCGCAUAAGAUUGUAGUUUCGCAUGAAACAGCAAUUAAAGGAGUAAUCCGCUAUGAGAUGGACCCGCGUCGCAUUAGCUAGUUGGUGAGGUAACGGCUCACCAAGGCGACGAUGCGUAGCCGACCUGAGAGGGUGAUCGGCCACAUUGGGACUGAGACACGGCCCAGACUCCUACGGGAGGCAGCAGU
rnacentral:rRNA from 1 species